CCUACGGGUGGCAGCAGUGAGGAAUCUUGGUCAAUGGGCGAGAGCCUGAACCAGCCAAGUCGCGUGAAGGAUGACGGCCCUACGGGUUGUAAACUUCUUUUGUCAGGGAGCAAUUGGGUCCACGCGUGGGCUUAGCGAGAGUACCUGAAGAAAAAGCAUCGGCUAACUCCGUGCCAGCCGCCGCGGUAAUACGGAGGAUGCGAGCGUUACCCGUAUUGAUUGGGUUUAAGGGAGGCGUAGGCGGAAUAUCAAGUCAGCGUGAAAAAUUCGGGGCUCAACCGCGUCGUGCCGUUGAAACUGAUGUUCUUGAGUGGGCGAGAGGUAUGCGGAAGGCGAGGUGUAGCGGUGAAAUGCAUAGAUA
rnacentral:rRNA from 1 species